AUAUCUUCUUGGCCUUUUGGCUAAGACCAAGUGUAGACAUUAAUAAUAUUGCUAUUUUAAUAAUUUUUUUUUUUUUUUUUGGGGAUGGAGUCUCGCUGUGUUGCCCAGGCUGGAGUGCGGUGGCGCGAUCUCGGCUCACUGCAAGCUCCGCCUCCCA
rnacentral:snRNA from 1 species